rnacentral:rRNA from 1 species
ACUCCUACGGGAGGCAGCAGUGGGGAAUAUUGCACAAUGGGCGCAAGCCUGAUGCAGCCAUGCCGCGUGUAUGAAGAAGGCCUUCGGGUUGUAAAGUACUUUCAGCAGUGAGGAAGGUGGUAGUGUUAAUAGCACUAUCAUUUGACGUUAGCUGCAGAAGAAGCACCGGCUAACUCCGUGCCAGCAGCCGCGGUAAUACGGAGGGUGCGAGCGUUAAUCGGAAUUACUGGGCGUAAAGCGCAUGCAGGUGGUUUGUUAAGUCAGAUGUGAAAGCCCGGGGCUCAACCUCGGAAUUGCAUUUGAAACUGGCAGACUAGAGUACUGGUAGAGGGGGGUAGAAUUUCAGGUGUAGCGGUGAAAUGCGUAGAGAUCUGAAGGAAUACCGGUGCGAAGGCGGCCCCCUGGACAGAUACUGACACUCAGAUGCGAAAGCGUGGGGAGCAAACAGGAUUAGAUACCCUGGUAGGAUAGCG